GAUGAACGCUGGCGGCGUGCCUAAUACAUGCAAGUCGAGCGAACAGACGAGGAGCUUGCGCCUCUGACGUUAGCGGCGGACGGGUGAGUAACACGUGGAUAACCUACCUAUAAGACUGGGAUAACUUCGGGAAACCGGAGCUAAUACCGGAUAAUAUAUUGAACCGCAUGGUUCAAUAGUGAAAGACGGUUUUGCUGUCACUUAUAGAUGGAUCCGCGCCGCAUUAGCUAGUUGGUAAGGUAACGGCUUACCAAGGCGACGAGGCGUAGCCGACCUGAGAGGGUGAUCGGCCACCCUGGAACUGAGACACGGUCCAGACUCCUACGGGAGGCAGCAGUAGGGAAUCUUCCGCAAUGGGCGAAAGCCUGACGGAGCAACGCCGCGUGAGUGAUGAAGGUCUUCGGAUCGUAAAACUCUGUUAUUAGGGAAGAACAAAUGUGUAAGUAACUAUGCACGUCUUGACGGUACCUAAUCAGAAAGCCACGGCUAACUACGUG
rnacentral:rRNA from 1 species